UUUGAGAAACAAGUAAGAUGAACACAAGUAUUGCCGAGAUCGUUUAUAUCAUGUUCUGUGCUUCUGUCGAAGAGAUGAGCAAUCUACGACUGGAGCACGUCACCGAGGAUCUGAUAUUGAAGUGGAGGGAUGCAAUCAAAGAUGCUUUACGCAUCAAUUUCAAGGUGGAUUUCGCCAUGGAACAUUUGAAGAAAAUUGCUUGUGCAUACAUCGGUUUAAUGGAACGUCAAAAGCUGGAUAGUGCGGGUUUGAGGAUAUCCAAGUUAGAGGCUGCGUUGAGUACUGCGAAAGAGGAGCAUGCAAAGAUAUGCGAGCAGUCCAAGGUGUUUAUAGAUGCUGCAGAAGAGUUCAACGAUAAGCCUGUCAGCUCUGGUAUGUUCAAAAGACCUGGCCAGAUCAACAUUGAGCUAGAGCUAACAAAUGAACCGGAUUCGAGUACCCUAAUACUUUGAUUUGAGUAGCUAUCAAGUCCAAUCGAGUUUUUGUUGCUAAUUAUGCUCAUUUUAAUAAGGAUUCAACUCAGACUCAAUUGGAUAUCCUCAAAGCCAUAUUAUCCAGCUUUCGACACUCCAUUAAACCGAUGUAAGCGCAAGCAAUUUUCUUCAAAUGUUCUACGGUGAAAUCCACCUUGAAAUUGAUGCCUACAGCAUCCUUUGUUGCAUCCCUCCACUUCAAUAUCCGACACUCAGUGAAGCAUAGAACGUGAUAUAGAUCGCCUCGAAAAUACUUGGGCUCAUCUUACUUGUUGCUGAAACACCUCCAUAGAAAUCAAUGAUGUCGUUUACAUUGGAUGUAGAGACGGUGGGAAACUACCGUCAACUACCACAUCGGCCUUUUAUAGUAGAAAAUGCGUGAAUAAAAACAGAGGAAGAAAUUCAUAUUUUAUGUAGAAUCAGAGUUUGGUUUUCUUACAGUUUUCCUAGCGAUAAUCGUUCGAAAACUUGCGAUAACACCCAAGUUAGUCGUACGUUUUGUAUCUGUUGGUUGUUUUGUGUUUUUCUUGUUCACAUUGUAAAGGUCAACAAUCCCGUGAGUAGAAGUCGCACGGAAAAGUGCAACCGCUUCUUUAGUUACAAUAACCAUAAAUAUAAACAAAUGGGUAAAUUUAAUUA